rnacentral:rRNA from 1 species
AUUGAACGCUGGCGGCAGGCCUAACACAUGCAAGUCGAGCGAGCGGCGGACGGGUGAGUAAUGUAUGGGGAUCUGCCCGAUAGAGGGGGAUAACUACUGGAAACGGUGGCUAAUACCGCAUACUAUCAGAUGAGCCUAGGUGGGAUUAGCUUGUUGGUGGGGUAAAGGCUUACCAAGGCGACGAUCCGUAGCUGGUCUGAGAGGAUGACCAGUCACACUGGAACUGCGACACGGUCCAGACUCCUACGGGAGGCGGCAGUGGGGAAUAUUGGACAAUGGGCGCAAGCCUGAUCCAGCCAUGCCGCGUGUGUGAAGAAGGUCUUCGGAUUGUAAAGCACUUUCAGUGGGGAGGCGUUACCCGCAGAAUAAGCACCGGCUAACUCCGUGCCAGCAGCCGCGGUAAUUC